rnacentral:sRNA from 1 species
CAUCUUGUUAGGGAGGAGUAGAGAGGACAGUUGGACCUCCAGGCCGGGAGGUGGGGUUUGGCAAGAGAGGGUGCAGGGCUGCAGGCUGAUGGGUGAUUAGUAUCAAGAUAGCCCAACUUCAGCAUGGAGUUGCAGUGAGUCGAGAUCACGCCGCUGCACUCCAGCCUGGGCAACAGAGUGAGACUGUCUCAAAAAAAAGAAAAAAAAAGAUAUAGCUCUGUAAAAAUAUAUCCUCAAGGAAAUCCUCAAAUAUCUUUUAGGGUAGGGAUCUUAGUUUUUUUACUGAUAUGUCAGCAUAUAGAAUGAGAUCAAUGUAUAUUUAUUUGAUUGAUCAUUGAUUAACUUCUUAGUGUUUUUAUGUCUCUGCUAUUGCUACUGUAAUUAAUUCCACAAAUUUAGCAGCUUAAAGCCAUACAGAUUUUAUUGUCUUACAGUUAUGAAGGUCAGAAGUCCAAAUUGGGUGUGUGUGGGCUAAAACCAAGGUUUAGCAGGGCUGUGUUCCUUCUGAAGCUUGUAGUAAGAACUUUCCUUGCCUUUUCCAGCAUUUAGAGGUCACGUACAUUCCCUGAUGCUUGGCCUGCUCCUCCUCUUCAUAGCCAGCAGCAUAACAUCUUCAAAUCUCUCUGACUCUUAUCUCCUACCUUCGUCUUACAAAGACCCUGUGAUUACAUUAGACCUAACUGGAAAAUCCAAGACAAUCUCCUUUUGGAAGAUCCUUACUUUAGUCACCACAAUGUCCCUUUUCCCAUGUAGGUUAAUCUAUUCACAGGUUUUGGAGAUGGAGAUGCGAACACCUUUGGGAGCCCAUUCUACCACAAUGCUUAAUCUCAUUUUCCAAUAUCAUAUUGUAUUAC